GCAUCACUCACAACGGUGCUUGGGAAGGGGAAGUUUUCGUCCGCGAUCUGGCUGCACUGUUUGCUAUACGAGUGCAAAAACCACGCGAAUAAAAUUACAAAUUAUUUUAUUUAAAUUAAAUUACUGGAUCAACAUAGAAUCAACAAGUGUUAUCAUUCACUUCUGCUCUUGUGGACUUCUUUGUAAAUGUGAUUUAAUCAAUUAAGUUUCAAUUAUUCAACAUUUGUGCAUUGAAGCUGAUGUUCAGGUGACCAGCAACUGCCGACAAAUUUCUCAUAUUGCUAGAAAUUGUUUUGUCUCAAGACUACAAACCCGAUAGUGCAAUAAACAAGAAGAAAAUAACUGAUCUGGAAUUACUGGUGGGGAUUCAGCCUCUGGUAUUUUUUUCAGCCGUCAGAUCUUCUAUUGUCGUUGAAAAAUCUUCUGCAGUGAAUAUUUUUUUAUUUAAAUAAGAAGUUAUUGUUUGAAAAAUAUAUUAAUUUGUUUAAAUUUUUUAAUUAAUUUAAUUUAAUUGAUUGUUAUUAUAAAUUUAGUUUGCAUUUGUAUUCUUAUAUAUGAUCAUAUAUUUAUUUACAAUAUACUUUUUGAUUAUGAAAUAAUCGUAUUCGUGAUGACCACAAGGAGCUUCGACUCUAUGGCCAAAAACUGAAAUAAAAGAGAAAAUGAAAUUGAUAGCUUUCAGUUAACGCUCUAGCAAGAUUAAAUAAUAAAUUACUAGACCUUAAAUUAUUCAAAAAAGAACAUAUACAAUCUAAAAUUUUAUGUAACUUUAUUUUUACAAGUAGAUACAAAUCUACUAUACAUUGAGGUUUUUAAUUAUUUGUAACCAAUGUUGUCAUUUUUAUUUUAUUUA